rnacentral:rRNA from 1 species
GCUCAGAUUGAACGCUGGCGGCAUGGCUAAAGCAUGCAAGUCGAACGCGAAAGUCACUUCGGUGGCGAGUAGAGUGGCGGAAGGGCGAGUAAUGCGUUUCUAACGUACCCCAAGGUCGAGGAUAGCUAGGGGAAACCCUGGGUAAUACUCGAUGACCCCGGCGGGACGCAUGUCCGAAUGAGCAAAGGCUUGCCACCUUGGGAUCGGGGAAAGCACUAUCAGGUAGUUGGUAAGGUAACGGCUUACCAAGCCUAUGACGGUUAGCGGGUGUGAGAGCAUGACCCGCCGCAUCGGAACUGAGACACUGUCCGGACUCCUACGGGAGGCUGCAGCAACGAAUCUUCCGCAAUGCACGAAAGUGUGACGGAGCAAUGCCGCGUGCAGGAUGAAGCCCCUCGGGGUGUAAACUGCUGUCAGAAUUUAGUAAUAAUGAACAAAUUCAAAGGAAGGGCCGGCUAACUUCGUGCCAGCAGCCGCGGUAAUACGAAGGGCCCGAGCGUUGCGCGGAAUCACUGGGCUUAAAGGGUGUGUAGGCGGAAGCGUCAGUGUCUUGUGAAAGCCCACGGCUCAACCGUGGAAUUGCAGGGCAUACUGCGUUUCUUGAGUGUGGUAGAGGCUGUCGGAACUAUAGGUGUAGCGGUGAAAUGCGUAGAUAUCUAUAGGAACAUCGAAGACGAAGGUAGGCAGCUGGGCCAUUACUGACGCUGAGACACGAAAGCGUGGGGAGCAAACAGGAUUAGAUACCCUGGUAGUCCACGCCGUAAACGAUGUACACUAGGUUCGGGGAGCUCUGACGCUUUCCGGGCCGCAGAGAAACCAUUAAGUGUACCGCCUGGGGAGUACGGUCGCAAGAUUAAAACUCAAAGGAAUUGACGGGGGCUCACACAAGCGGUGGAGCAUGUGGCUUAAUUCGAGGCAACGCGAAGAACCUUAUCCAGGGUUUGACAUGUAUGGAUUAGCUCCUAGAAACAGGAGUGACGCGCUUGCGUGGAACAUACACAGGUGCUGCAUGGCUGUCGUCAGCUCGUGUCGUGAGAUGUCGGGUUAAGUCCCUUAACGAGCGAAACCCCUAUCACUAGUUGCCAGCGCGUAAUGGCGGGGACUCUAGUGAGACUGCCGGUGUCAAACCGGAGGAAGGUGGGGAUGACGUCAAGUCCUCAUGGCCUUUAUGCCCUGGGCUGCACACGUGCUACAAUGGUAUAUACAGAGCGAAGCAAUACCGCAAGGUGGAGCAAAUCGCAUAAAAUAUGCCUCAGUUCGGAUUGUGGUCUGCAACUCGACCACAUGAAGGUGGAAUCGCUAGUAAUCGCGUAUCAGCUAUGACGCGGUGAAUAAGUUCCUGAGCCUUGUACACACACCGCCCGUCAAGUCAUGGAAGCCGGGAGCACCCGAAGUCGCACCAACUCAGGUGUGCCGACGGUGAGCUCGGUGACUGGGACUAAGUC